AACGAACGCUGGCGGCAUGCCUAACACAUGCAAGUCGAACGAAGCCUUCGGGCUUAGUGGCGCACGGGUGCGUAACGCGUGGGAAUCUGCCCUUGGGUUCGGAAUAACAGUUAGAAAUGACUGCUAAUACCGGAUGAUGUCUUCGGACCAAAGAUUUAUCGCCCAAGGAUGAGCCCGCGUAGGAUUAGGUAGUUGGUGGGGUAAUGGCCCACCAAGCCGACGACCCUUAGCUGGUCUGAGAGGAUGAUCAGCCACACUGGGACUGAGACACGGCCCAGACUCCUACGGGAGGCAGCAGUGGGGAAUAUUGGACAAUGGGCGAAAGCCUGAUCCAGCAAUGCCGCGUGAGUGAUGAAGGCCUUAGGGUUGUAAAGCUCUUUUACCAGGGAUGAUAAUGACAGUACCUGGAGAAUAAGCUCCGGCUAACUCCGUGCCAGCCGCCGCAGUAACAC
rnacentral:rRNA from 1 species